rnacentral:rRNA from 1 species
AUGUAGGCUGAUUGUCCAGGCAAAUCCGGAUAAUCAAGGCUGAGGUGUGAUGACGAGGCACUACGGUGCUGAAGUAACAAAUGCCCUGCUUCCAGGAAAAGCCUCUAAGCAUCAGGUAACAUUAAAUCGUACCCCAAACCGACACAGGUGGUCAGGUAGAGAAUACCAAGGCGCUUGAGAGAACUCGGGUGAAGGAACUAGGCAAAAUGGUGCCGUAACUUCGGGAGAAGGCACGCUGGUGUGUA